CCUACGGGAGGCAGCAGUGGGGGAUAUUGCACAAUGGGGGAAACCCUGAUGCAGCGACGCCGCGUGGGUGAAGGAGCGUUUCGGUGCGUAAAGCUCUAUCGGCAGGGAAGAAGGAGGACGGUACCUGACUAAGAAGCCCCGGCUAACUACGUGCCAGCAGCCGCGGUAAUACGUAGGGGGCAAGCGUUAUCCGGAUUUACUGGGUGUAAAGGGGGCGCAGACGGCUGUGCAAGCCUGAAGUGAAAGCCCAGGGCCCAACCCCGGGACUGCUUUUGAAACUGGGGAGCUGGAGUGCAGGAGAGGAAAGUGGAAUUCCUAGUGUAGCGGUGAAAUGCGUAGAUAUUAGGAGGAACACCAGUGGCGAAGGCGGCUUACUGGACUGUAACUGACGUUGAGGCCCGAAAGCGUGGGGAGCAAACAGGAUUAGAUACCCGGGUAGUC
rnacentral:rRNA from 1 species